GAAAUGCGAUAAGUAAUGUGAAUUGCAGAAUUCGGUGAAUCAUCGAAUCUUUGAACGCACAUUGCGCCCGCCAGUAUUCUGGCGGGCAUGCCUGUUCGAGCGUCAUUUCAACCAUCAAGCCCCCGGGCUUGUGUUGGGGACCUGCGGCUGCCCGCAGGCCCUGAAAACCAGUGGCGGGCUCGCUGUCACACCGAGCGUAGUAGCAAUCACCUCGCUCAGGGCGUGCUGCGGGUUCCGGCCGUUAAACAGCCUUACAAAAACCAAGGUUGACCUCGGAUCAGGUAGGAAGACCCGCUGAACUUAAGC
rnacentral:misc_RNA from 1 species